UACAAAAAAUGUGGUAACAUUAUCGUGGAUGUCUUACUCAAGAGAAGGAAGGUGAGUCUUGUCUCUUAAUCAUGUCUUUUCAGUAGUAAUUUAUUAUUAUUAUUAUUAUAUGUCAGUAUUGCUAGAAUUCCGAGUUUUAAUAUUAUGUUACAAUUGAGUUGUUUAUGACCAUCCUUAGGUCUGUUUCGCCACGCAAUUCGGGUUCACCGGACAGAGGCCGGCGCUCAAGAUCGUUGUCAAGGCCCCGUCGAAGUCGCUCCAGGAGAGUAUCAAUGGUGCUGGCGUGGCAUCAAAUCCUGGAGAUAACUUGUACAUAACUGGAUUAUCAACAGUGAUCACAAGCAGUGAUCUUGAGAAGUAUUUUAACUGGAUUAAAAGGGAAGGUAUAGUUCUGGCAAAAUCAUUUAUUGUCUAUCCUGAAUGAGUUCCUGUGAUUGAUUAAUGUUGUUUACGGGUUUCUGAAACAUGACUGCAGUCUGGCAAUGAUGCCUGUGUUCCAGAGUUCUAUGUGAAAUUCCUCAGGGAGCAGUUACAUAUCUGGGUUUGGAAAGGAAAUUUUAAAUUCUGGAUGGUUAUGGAUUUUGAAGAUACUGAUGUAAUAUUAUAUCAAGUUUUGGAGUGUCAUCUGGUAAAAUUUCCGCCCCCCCCGUGGAUUUGCUUUUUUUACCAUAAAAACUACCGGGGAUGCUGACCGUUGCAUCAGGUGUUUGAAUUGUUCAGUGCUUGAAGGAAUCAGGUGUUUGAAUUGUUCAGUGCUUGAAGGAUGACUGAUCACCGUGGAGAAGAUGGCAGACUCAAACAAUUGCCUUUCACGCUGUAUGAACUGGCGGAAUUUCGGAGGGGGAAUGAAUGACCCACCAUGGAAGAAGCAUUCAUUUAUGAAAAUGAACCUUGUAUCAAUCUUGGCUCGUAUCCAAUUGAAUGCAGACUAGCUGUAAGGAAACCUGCCCAUCAAUGGAGGAGCCACUGAUUGGUACUAUUGGAAUUCGCAGGACAGGAAUCAGUAGGGUAACUGUACAUCCCCAGGGAAGGAAGCAAAUGCCUUUUAUGCUCUCACGGAAUUUCUGCUCUGCUUUACGUGAAUAUGUUCUUUGGGUUAGGUCUUUGGUGUAGCAUGCGCAUGCUUUGCUUCGUUAAUUCUUCCAUGAGUUUAUAGCCCAAUGCCUGUACUUUUCUUCUUCUUUUUGUCUAUUUAUUCUGCAGAGCAUGUGAUUAAUGCAAGUGUUGUAUCACUUCUCAUUUUGUUGUUUGGAGCUUGAGACACAGAGUUGAC